GUAGGGCGCAAGCGUUAUCCGGAAUUAUUGGGCGUAAAGAGCUCGUAGGCGGUCUGUCGCGUCUGCUGUGAAAUCCCGAGGCUCAACUUCGGGUCUGCAGUGGGUACGGGCAGACUAGAGCGCGGUAGGGGAGAUUGGAAUUCCUGGUGUAGCGGUGGAAUGCGCAGAUAUCAGGAGGAACGCCGAUGGCGAAGGCAGAUCUCUGGGCCGUAACUGACGCUGAGGAGCGAAAGGGUGGGGAGCAAACAGGCUUAGAUACCCUGGUAGUCCACCCCGUAAACGUUGGGAACUAGUUGUGGGGUCCAUUCCACGGAUUCCGUGACGCAGCUAACGCACUAAGUUCCCCGCCUGGGGAGUACGGCCGCAAGGCUA
rnacentral:rRNA from 1 species